rnacentral:rRNA from 1 species
UACGUAGGGACCAAGCGUUGUCCGGAAUCAUUGGGCGUAAAGCGCGCGUAGGUGGCCAUUUAAGUCCGCUGUGAAAAGUCAGAGGCUCAACCUUUGAAGCCGGUGGAUACUGGAUGGCUAGAGUACGGAAGAGGCGAGUGGGAAUUCCUGGUGUAGCGGUGGAAUGCGCAGAUAUCAGGAGGAACACCAAUAGCGAAGGCAG